AACGAACGCUGGCGGCAUGCCUAACACAUGCAAGUCGAACGAGACCUUCGGGUCUAGUGGCGCACGGGUGCGUAACGCGUGGGAAUCUACCCUUGGGUUCGGAAUAACAGUUAGAAAUGACUGCUAAUACCGGAUGAUGACGUAAGUCCAAAGAUCUAUCGCCUAAGGAUGAGCCCGCGUAAGAUUAGCUUGUUGGUGGGGUAAUGGCCUACCAAGGCGACGAUCUUUAGCUGGUCUGAGAGGAUGAUCAGCCACACUGGGACUGAGACACGGCCCAGACUCCUACGGGAGGCAGCAGUGGGGAAUAUUGGACAAUGGGGGCAACCCUGAUCCAGCAGUGCCGCGUGAGUAAUGAAGGCCUUAGGGUUGUAAAGCUCUUUUACACGGGAUGAUAAUGACAGUACCGGGAGAAUAAGCCCCGGCUAACUCCUUGCCAGCAUCCGCCGUAA
rnacentral:rRNA from 1 species